UACGGGGGGGGCAAGCGUUGUUCGGAAUUACUGGGCGUAAAGGGCUCGUAGGUGGCCAACUAAGUCGGACGUGAAAUCCCCAGGCUCAACUUGGGAACUGCGUCCGAUACUGGAUGGCUUGAAUUCGGGAGAGGGAUGCAGAAUUCCAGGUGUAGCGGUGAAAUGCGUAGAUAUCUGGAGGAAUACCGGUGGCGAAGGCGGCAUCCUGGACCGAGAUUGACACUGAUGAGCGAAAGCCAGGGGAGCAGACGGG
rnacentral:rRNA from 1 species